rnacentral:rRNA from 1 species
UGAACGCUGGCGGCGUGCCUAAUACAUGCAAGUCGAGCGAACAGACGAGGAGCUUGCUCCUCUGACGUUAGCGGCGGACGGGUGAGUAACACGUGGAUAACCUACCUAUAAGACUGGGAUAACUUCGGGAAACCGGAGCUAAUACCGGAUAAUAUAUUGAACCGCAUGGUUCAAUAGUGAAAGACGGUUUUGCUGUCACUUAUAGAUGGAUCCGCGCCGCAUUAGCUAGUUGGUAAGGUAACGGCUUACCAAGGCAACGAUGCGUAGCCGACCUGAGAGGGUGAUCGGCCACACUGGAACUGAGACACGGUCCAGACUCCUACGGGAGGCAGCAGUAGGGAAUCUUCCGCAAUGGGCGAAAGCCUGACGGAGCAACGCCGCGUGAGUGAUGAAGGUCUUCGGAUCGUAAAACUCUGUUAUUAGGGAAGAACAAAUGUGUAAGUAACUAUGCACGUCUUGACGGUACCUAAUCAGAAAGCCUCGGCUAACUACGUG